rnacentral:rRNA from 1 species
GAUAUGGCUCAGAACGAACGCUGGCGGCGCGUUUAAGCAUGCAAGUCGAGCGGCAAGGGCCUUCGGGCCCUAGAGCGGCGGACGGGUGAGUAACACGUGGACAAUCUGCCCCCCGGCCCGGGAUAGCCCAGGGAAACCUGGAUUAAUACCGGAUGAGACGGGACCCGCGAUGGCGGGAUCCGGGAAAGGCGCUGCGGCGCCGCCGGGGGAUGAGUCUGCGUCCCAUUAGCUAGACGGCGGGGUAACGGCCCACCGUGGCGACGAUGGGUAGCCGGCCUGAGAGGGUGGACGGCCACAUUGGAACUGAGACACGGUCCAGACUCCUACGGGAGGCAGCAGCUAAGAAUCUUCCGCAAUGGGCGAAAGCCUGACGGAGCCGACGCCGCGUGAACGAAGAAGGCCGUGAGGUUGUAAAGUUCUUUUCGGGAGGGGGAACAACCGUGGCAGGGAAUGGCCGCGGGAUGACGUGAAUCCCGGAAUAAGCCCCGGCUAACUACGUGCCAGCCGCUGC